rnacentral:rRNA from 1 species
AGAGUUUGAUCCUGGCUCAGAACGAACGCUGGCGGCGUGGAUUAGGCAUGCAAGUCGAACGAUCCCGCAAGGGAUAGUGGCGAAAGGGUGCGUAACACGUGGGCAAUCUGCCCCCGAAACGGGAAUAACUUCGGGAAACCGAAGCUAAUACCUGAUGACACCGAGCUGCCGCAUGGUGGCACGGUGAAAGGCGUCCGCAAGGGUGCCGAUCGGGGAUGAGCCCGCGGCCUAUCGGCUAGUUGGUGAGGUAACGGCCCACCAAGGCGAUGACGGGUAGCCGGCCUGAGAGGGUGGUCGGCCACAUUGGGACUGAGACACUGCCCAGACUCCUACGGGAGGCUGCAGUCGAGGAUCUUCCGCAAUGGGGGAAACCCUGACGGAGCGACGCCGCGUGGAGGAUGAAGGCCUUCGGGUCGUAAACUCCUGUCAGUCUGGAAGAAAAUCUGCAGCAAUGUGGAUUGACCGUACAGGCAGAGGAAGCUCCGGCUAACUCCGUGCCAGCAGCCGCGGUAAUACGGAGGGAGCGAGCGUUGUUCGGAAUCAUUGGGCGUAAAGGGCAUGUAGGCGGCUCUGUAAGUCGGGUGUGAAAUCCCAUCUCUCAAGGGUGGAACGGCAUUCGAAACUGCAGGGCUUGAGUUCGGGGGAAGAGAGCGGAAUUCUCGGUGUAGCGGUGAUAUGCGUAGAUAUCGAGAAGAACACCAGCGGCGUAAGCGGCUCUCUAUCCUGAAACUGACGCUGAGGUGCGAAAGCCAGGGGAGCGAACGGGAUUAGAUACCCCGGUAGUCCUGGCCAUAAACGAUGUGCACUUGGUGUUGGGCCGCGAGGCUCAGUGCCGAAGCUAACGCAUUAAGUGCACCGCCUGGGGAGUACGACCGGAAGGUUGAAACUCAAAUGAAUUGACGG